GUUUUAAUCCAUAGCACCAGUAGUAAAUCAAUGCAUCUAUUUGACAAGGUAAUAAAAACAAACAUCUUAUUUUACACAACAAAAAAACACAACAGGUGAAGGUAGGCUAAAAUGUCCUUACAUUAAAAGACACUGACUGGUAACAGGUUUAUAUGAAAAGAGGAAGAUGCAUGGUAGUAAAUCUAGGCAGCAAUGUGAGAUUACAGUAUACUAUGUCUAUUUUAGUAGACAUUAAUGUAACGCCAUGUCUACAUCUCAAAUUGCACCCUAUGUAGUGCACUACUUCUGACCAGGGCACAGAGCUCUGCUCCAAAGUAGUGCACUAUAUAGGGAAUAGGGCCCUGGUCUAAAGUAGUGCACUAUAUAGUGAAUAGGGCCCUGUUCUAAAGUAGUGCACUAUAUAGUGAAUAGGGCCCUGUUCUAAAGUAGUGCACUAUAAAGGGAAUAGGGUGCCAUUUGGGACAGACAACAGGGCAGAAUGAACAAAAAUAAACAAGUAGUACUGUACAGUUGAUGUGUCAACAUUUAAGACCAUGGUCAACAUUGGCUGACAAAACCAAAGACUUUCAACAUACACACGUUAACACAAUAAUAAGGGAGAUUAAAAGAUAACGCCCACAUGUUGUAUCAUGUAAUCUAGAACUGACUCACAUCAUAAAGAUGAUCGCACAUUAGCAAAACGGUUUCCAGCAAGACCCAGUGUGUAUCAACCACUAAUGGCCAGGUGACCCUUCAGCUUUUCAAAAUGACACAUAAAAAAUGUGUUGGGCCUUGAUUGGCUGAAACCCUUCAGGUAACAGAGAGAAAAGCGGGGACAAACUAACAAGUAAAAUAGGUAGACUACUUGACCAGCACAGAUAAAAUAACAAGAGUAAAAAAAACAAUCCAUCUUGAUGACCUCAGCACAAGCUUCUAGUGUCUUUCAUUUCAUGUGUAGAAAAAACAGCCCCAACUCUUUAAAACUUAGCACAAAGCCAUUCUCACACAUUCCCCAUUAACACUUCCUCUAAAAACAGCCCCAUUAAAACCAACGUCAUGUCAUGUUCAUUAAGGUACACUACAAAAUCUUUUCAAAACAUUCUGCAACGGAAAGUGAAAAUAAGGGUUCCUUAUUGGACAAAGUCCAGGUAGUCCCUCCCAGUUUGAAUCCGUCCUGUUCUAUUUGGUGCCUAAUGAACAUGACCCAGAACAAAAUGUCCCAAUUCACGCUCAAUAAAGAAGACUUGUAUCAGACUGGGCAACACUGAAGGUACUGUAAGAGAAUCCCCUAUCGACACAGUCACUACAAAUGUCCCUCUCCAACAAAGCAAAAACCAUCUCAGACUUCCAGAAAAUCUUUCAACAACGUUAGCGUCCCAACCAAUAUCCACCCAAAUCCCAUUCCAGUUCAAAAAUAAAAUUAUAAUAAUCACAUCAUUGUACUAUCAAACCUCAAAAGGCCAAACCAGGCAGGUGAAAUAUGACAUUGUACACAUUGAGGAGUUCAAUCAGUUAAUACACAAAUCUCAGACAAUAAAAAUAAAUAGUCAUCCCAAAAUGAAGCCCUACCUACAUCUCUCCCAAACAUGAAUACCAUUACAGAAAGGUUGGUUUGUUCAGCUCGUAUGUGUUCAUCAUCAUCCAAUAUGUAUCGACCUGUAUUUGUAUGAUAUAGAUUCAAGAAAACCCUGAGCCAGUGUUUCUCCAACACCACCACAUGCACUACUAUAAUGUGUAGUGCACUACUUUUGGCCAAUAGUCCACUAUAUAGGGAACAGGGGCUUCAUUUGAGCUAACAGACAGUAUCAGUAAACCCACUGGCCUUUAGACACCAUAAGAGCUGUGGGGUAUUCCAGAAAGCAGGGUUAAUACAUCAGACAGCUAACUUUGAUUAAUAGCCUUUGCCUCAUUUCUCUUGAUUUCCUGGUUGAUUAAAAUAAUCUACAUUUGUAUCACAGUUGUUUCUGUUGUUGUUGAGUCAUUUCAAACCAUUUCAAGCAAUUUGGGUCAGUUUGCUGGCUAACUCAUUGAUCAAGCUUUUUGGAACAGGCCCCAGACGAAUGUGACUGGUGCUAAUCAGCAUUUUGUAGGAGGAUAUAAUCAUCCCAUCAGUGUGCUGUGUGUGUAGGGCAACCAUUUGGGACUUAAAAUAUUAGUAAAAUUAGAACCACAUUUUCAGAUGAGUAGUACAAACACCAGAUUCAGAAAACACAAACAAGAUACUUACAUAUAGUACAAUGUAGGCUCAGCUAGCUAGCGGUCGACGGUAAAAGUAUCUAUGUAGGCUCAGCUAGCUAGCGGUCAACAGUAAAAGUAUCUAUGUAGGCUCAGCUAGCUAGCGGUCAACGGUAAAAGUAUCUAUGUAGGCUCAUCUAGCUAGCGGUCGACGGUAAAAGUAUCUAUGUAGGCUCAUCUAGCUAGCGGUCGACGGUAAAAGUAUCUAUGUAGGCUCAGCUAGCUAGCGGUCGACGGUAAAAGUAUCUAUGUAGGCUCAUCUAGCUAGCGGUCGACGGUAAAAGUAUCUAUGUAGGCUCAUCUAGCUAGCGGUCAACGGUAAAAGUAUCUAUGUAGGCUCAGCAAGCUAGCGGUCAACGGUAAAAGUAUCUAUGUAGGCUCAUCUAGGUAGCGGUCGACGGUAAAAGUAUCUAUGUAGGCUCAUCUAGCUAGCGGUCGACGGUAAAAGUAUCUAUGUAGGCUCAGCUAGUGGUCAAAUGUAAAAGUAUCUAUGUAGGCUCAGCAAGCUAGCGGUCAACGGUAAAAGUAUCUAUGUAGGCUCAUCUAGCUAGCGGUCGACGGUAAAAGUAUCUAUGUAGGCUCAGCUAGUGGUCAAAUGUAAAAGUAUCUAUGUAGGCUCAGCUAGCUAGCGGUCAACGGUAAAAGUAUCUAUGUAGGCUCAGCUAGCUAGCGGUCAACGGUAAAAGUAUCUAUGUA
ensembl:lncRNA